GAUGAACGCUGGCGGCGUGCCUAAUACAUGCAAGUCGAGCGAACGGACGAGAAGCUUGCUUCUCUGAUGUUAGCGGCGGACGGGUGAGUAACACGUGGAUAACCUACCUAUAAGACUGGGAUAAAUUCGGGAAACCGGAGCUAAUACCGGAUAAUAUUUUGAACCGCAUGGUUCAAAAGUGAAAGACGGGCUUGCUGUCACUUAUAGAUGGAUCCGCGCUGCAUUAGCUAGUUGGUAAGGUAACGGCUUACCAAGGCAACGAUGCAUAGCCGACCUGAGAGGGUGAUCGGCCACACUGGAACUGAGACACGGUCCAGACUCCUACGGGAGGCAGCAGUAGGGAAUCUUCCGCAAUGGGCGAAAGCCUGACGGAGCAACGCCGCGUGAGUGAUGAAGGUCUUCGGAUCGUAAAACUCUGUUAUUAGGGAAGAACAUAUGUGUAAGUAACUGUGCACAUCUUGACGGUACCUAAUCAGAAAGCCACGGCUAACUACGUG
rnacentral:rRNA from 1 species